rnacentral:tmRNA from 1 species
GGGGCUGAUUCUGGAUUCGACGGGAUUUGCGAAACCCAAGGUGCAUGCCGAGGGGCGGUUGGCCUCGUAAAAAGCCGCAAAAAAAUAGUCGCAAACGACGAAAACUACGCUUUAGCAGCUUAAUAACCUGCUUAGAGCCCUCUCUCCCUAGCCUCCGCUCUUAGGACGGGGAUCAAGAGAGGUCAAACCCAAAAGAGAUCGCGCGGAUGCCCUGCCUGGGGUUGAAGCGUUAAAACGAACUCAGGCUAGUCUGGUAGUGGCGUGUCCGUCCGCAGGUGCCAGGCGAAUGUAAAGACUG